GCUAAUGAGUUGCGUUGCUGAUUUGAACCGCUAGGAAGAAGCGCUCUGAGGGGAAGAAGAAGAAAGAUGCUCUUUGGCCACGCUGGCUUAGGAGGAGCGUGAAAGCGGCGGCCUGACUGCAGUCAUCACCAUGAGAUGCUAGAAGUCCUGCAGCAGAGGAUUAUGGAGCUCUGCUACACUCAGUUGUUAAUGUAACUGGCUUGACCUUCACUCUGGACGGGCGCCAACAUUCCAAACAGGAGAGGAGUCUGCUCUUUCUGUGGUAACUACACUCAAGUCUUUUUUUUUUUUUUUUUUUUAAAGAUUUUCAUUCCUUUGUUAUUUAUUUGAGUCAAAGUUGCAGUCCAUAGGUGUUCCAUGAAACAUCUUGUUUCAUGUAACACCAUGACUAUAUGCCUCCCACCUGGACAGAGCCAGACCACAAAUGAGGCUGUAAACGGACACUGCAGGGAGAGGCUGUGCCAGAAACAAGCACUUAGUGACCUGUAAAGAUUUAUGUGAAUGCUUCUCACUACUUUUAUAAUAAACAUGUCACUGUGCUGAAAAUAA